CUCGGUUUUCGCAUAUUUUCGAUUAUUCGGCGGCCGCCAAGGCGUCGCUUGAGACGCCGGUCGGCCGCUUACGCCCAUUAUUCCUCCGUUGGCUCCUCAUAUUUUCAACCACGAUGUCAAAUUAAAUUCCCAAAAUUAUAUAAGCACUUAAUUGAAUUAUCGCAAGUAUUUUCCCUCGCGAUUAUAUUUAUUUCGAAACUUGGGGUAAAUUAUUUGUACAUCGAAUUAUUCCGAGAAUUAAUUAAAUAAUUCUCCAUAAUGAAUUUAAUUAUUAACUCAAAGAUUUAUUUAAUUAUCGGCCCAAGGAUUUAAUUAAUUUGGUCCAAGAAUUAAAAAGUGGCCCACAACGAAUCACCCACCUUCUCCUUAAUAUUUAAAAGGCCCACCCUUAUUUCUCCAAUUAAAAUCUGAGCCCGAACAAAACAAAACAUGAGUGGCCCAAAGCAGAAAGAGAUCCCCUACUCCCUCCAUCUCGGUCAAGGUCAACAACCCGUUCUCUCCUUCACCAUUUCAAUUUUCUCUCAACAUCCCCAAAUCCCGUCGCUUCCCCCUCCCCAACCUCACAACACCAGAAUCGACGGCCGUCAAUCGUCGUCUCUGAUUCAGACAGCAGCGGGGCUAGCCGUGCGUCGCCGUCGCUGUUGUUCGCCCCCUACCGCUGAUGCGUUGCUGCUGUCACACCGGCGAAAAAUCAGCUCGGUCCGCCCUGCCGUAACUCCUGCCGCUGCUGUGCAGUCUCCUCGCCGGGAAGGUAUGACGCUGCAGCGAGAGGGGUGGUCGCCGUUCGGUCUCUGCCGUCGGGCUCCUCCGCCGCAACCGUCGCCGUUGUCCAGAUCAAGCAGCAGCAGCAGCCGCGGCCAACGCUUGGCAAUGCGUACUCGUCCGGACAGCCCCGAUUUGCCCGAACAACCCCGAUUCACCCCGAAAGAUAAGUUUCCUUUACCAAGUUCUUUCGCAUUUCGAUUUAACCGUGGGAGUGUUCAAUUGUGUUAAGUGCUUGAGUUAUGCGAUUAGUUUGGAUGAUGGUAUGCUUAUGCGUAAACUGAUGAUUGAAACUUGAAAUUGGGAGGGAGUAUACCUUCAAUUGACAGAUUGUGAACUCAGAUGAAUCCCUCGGCUUCUAUUUCAAUUGUCAGUUUCUCCUCAACCGUGAAUUCAAGAAUUGGUAGCAUGGAAUUAAAAUAUGGAGAUUUUUGGUAGAAUGAGGAAACUGAUUUGUGAAGGGAAUAUUAUAGAGGGAGAAGGUAGUUGAAUAGAUUUAAUUAGAUUAAUUUGUUUUUUUAGGGUGUUACAUAUGUAUAAGUAAAAAUUAUUUGCAGUGUAAAGUGAACGAGGAGAAAUAAUAUUUUUUAAACUAAUCAAGUGAAUUGUAAGAUUAUACUAA